UACGUAGGGGGCUAGCGUUGUCCGGAUUUACUGGGCGUAAAGCGCGCGUAGGCGGCUUUGCAAGUCGGGUGUGAAAUCCCCAGGCUUAACCUGGGAACUGCAUUCGAGACUGCAUUGCUAGAGUAUGGGAGAGGGAAGUGGAAUUUCCGGUGUAGCGGUGAAAUGCGUAGAUAUCGGAAGGAACAUCAGUGGCGAAAGCGACUUCCUGGACCAAUACUGACGCUCAUGUGCGAAAGCGUGGGGAGCAAAAGGG
rnacentral:rRNA from 1 species